CAAAGUUGUGUUUUGAAAGACUGGAAUUAAAGGGUAGGAAUUCCUCCAAAGCCAUUCUCCUGCCCUUGCUAAAUGCUUCCUGGAAUUAGGAUUUGUCUCCAAAGAUCUGAAUCCCAUCCCACCAAGGAGCCAGAGCUGCCAGAGCAGCAGGACAGGCGGGAUCUCCCCUCCCCAGCUCCACACAGGCAGGAGGGUGCUCGGGGACGGAGCCUCAGCUCAGACCUGCAGGGAGUCACCUGCCUGGGGACAAGGAACCGGGGAAUAGAGAACGGUCCCAGCUCCAGAGGGAGCAGCAGGACGAGCCUGGGGAACUGCCCGGGUUCCACACCAAGGAAAGACCUUACUAGUGUGGGAAGCUCGAGGGGUCCCCGGGGAGGAAGGGACACAACCCCCAGCCCGGCAGAGGAAAACGCGGUGGCUCUUGGGUUUUAAUUGGGAUUCCUGAGCAAGGAGAAGGU
rnacentral:lncRNA from 12 species